AGAUCCAAUCCAAGCUCCAAUCCAAGGACUCUACAUUCUCCCAGUGUCUUUUACAGUAACAAAUUAUCCUGUCUUUGCUCUGCAAGAGGAAAACACAGAAACUGUAUCUCCUACCAUUGCUCAGAAAGAGGAAAACACAGAAACUGUAUCUCCUACCAUUGCUCAGAAAGAGAAAAACACAGAGACUCUAGUAAGCCUGGACGAUGUCAGCAUGUCCCCGUCCAAAGUGAAGUGCCCUGCUUGCCUUGAGAUUGUCACCACUGAGAUCCACUAUAAACUGGGCAGCAAUGCCUUCGUCUUUUGUUGUCUCUUAUCUGUGGUAGGGUGUCUGGCUGGAUGUUGCCUGGUUCCCUUCUGUAUGAAUCGCUUCAAAGAUGUCGUCCACAGGUGUCCAUCCUGCCACAAAGAUAUCUGUUUGGUAAAUAGGAUUUGAAGCAAAAAGUAAUACGGUUAAUAAUCUGUAACAUCAUGACUGUGAAAACUUCCAGAAGAGCUUGAAGCUGAGCACAGGACAUGGUCAAAAGGGAUUUGUAUCUCUUUGCUGGGGAAGUCAAUAUGUAGACUUUGAGAUUGGGCAAAACUAUAUGUACAAAUGAAUUCAACUAGCAAUUAAUAACUGUCUAUUAACAUUAAUCUAAUGUGCUACACUAAUAUUGUGCUAGUGGCUAACAGUCGUUUGUAUUAACCACUUCCAAUAGGCUUUUAGGGUGAUCGAAUCAUAGUAAUGACUAGUAGUGGAAGAAGUACACAUCAUGUACUACUGGCUCAUUUUGAGUGAGACAUUGGUUUAGACUCACUCUGACCAGACUGAAUCAGAGUUGUUAACAUUUGGAUCAGUUGAAUUCACAAUUGAGUCAUUCAGUGCGCACUGAUUUAAAUGGUUCACUGAAAAGAAUCAAUUCAUUCACCAAAUGACCAUCCCUAUCACGUCUUGGAGUGGUUCACUAUUUAUUCAUUAUAAAAUAACAUGUUUAUCUAAAAUAUAGUACACGUAAGAAAAUUGAGAAAUAGUACUUAUAGUAGGCUUACUAUGUCAUCCAUAUAUACUACAGAUACUCAUUUUCAUAUGAAGGUUUCUUGGUAAUAAAAAAAAGUGUGUACAGUAACAUUGAUUUGAAUAACAAUUCAGUUCCUUGAAACAAAACUUGUUUAUCAUUGCAACAUCUACAGUAUAAUUAACGGAUAUCCAAAUUUCCAGGUUUGAGUGACAUUUGUGAUUCUAUGAAUGCAAUACUUCUUUGCAUGCAUGUAAUAGUUAGAUAGCCUGAAGAACUGUUAUAAGAGGAAUGCUGUAUCAAAUGUCACUAUGAAAACAAUGGAUUUAUUUUUGUACGUGAAACUUUAUCAUGAGAAACCCUAAGAUAACCCUAAAAUAUGUAUAAUAUUAGAUAUUCAGAAUAAAAAAAACAUGGUUCCAGCAACUCUUAUGACCAAAAUAAACAAAAGCAGACACAAUUUUGAAUGUCAUUCCUCUGGUAUAUUUAAGAGACUCUAUAACAUCCUCUACGACAGUAUUUUCACAAUACAUUGAUUUUCAUUGACACAUGAUGGCAUAUAUAUACUUGUAUCUUUAAAACUAUUCACAAAAUAGAGAUCAUG